UACGUAGGGUGCAAGCGUUGUCCGGAUUUAUUGGGCGUAAAGAGCGUGUAGGCGGCUAGGUAGGUCCGUUGUGAAAACUCGAGGCUCAACCUCGAGACGUCGAUGGAAACCAUCUGGCUAGAGUCCGGAAGAGGAGAGUGGAAUUCCUGGUGUAGCGGUGAAAUGCGCAGAUAUCAGGAAGAACACCCGUGGCGAAGGCGGCUCUCUGGUACGUGACUGACGCUAAGACGCGAAAGCGUGGGGAGCGAACAGG
rnacentral:rRNA from 1 species